AUCACUUCUCGGCCUUUUGGCUCAGAUCAAGUGUAGUAUCUGUUCUUAUCAGUUUAAUAUCUGAUACGUCCCCCAUCGGGGGACUACAUAUUAAAUGGAUUUUUCGAACAGGGAGUCGGAAAUGGGGCUUGCUCUCGUCCGCUCCACGCAUCGACCCGGU
rnacentral:snRNA from 8 species